rfam:Roseibium sp. TrichSKD4 genomic scaffold scf_1119120597016, whole genome shotgun sequence.
AAGUGGGACACCCCUCCCCAACGAGGGGCACCUAUCUGGAAGGGUAGUUACA